rnacentral:tRNA from 1 species
UGGGUUUUAGGUUAAAUAAACCUUCAGCCUUCAAAGCUGAUAAUAAAAGAACCAAAUCUUUUAAACCUAA